rnacentral:tRNA from 1 species
GAGGUUGUGGCUCAGUGGUACAGCGCUCACCUAGCACUUGUGAGGUGCUGAGUUCGAUCCUUAGCACUACA